rnacentral:rRNA from 1 species
CCUACGGGAGGCAGCAGUAGGGAAUCUUCCACAAUGGGCGAAAGCCUGAUGGAGCAACGCCGCGUGGGUGAAGAAGGUCUUCGGAUCGUAAAACCCUGUUGUUAGAGAAGAAAGUGCGUGAGAGUAACUGUUCACGUUUCGACGGUAUCUAACCAGAAAGCCACGGCGAACUACGUGCCAGCAGCCGGGGUAAUACGGAGGGGGCAAGCGUUUUCCGGAUUUAUUGGGCGUAAAGGGAACGCAGGCGGUCUUUUAAGUCUGAUGUGAAAUCCGUCGGCUUAACCGGAGUAGUGCAUUGGAAACUGGGAGACUUGAGUGCAGAAGAGGAGAGUGGAACUCCAUGUGUAGCGGUGAAAUGCGUAGAUAUAUGGAAGAAAACCAGUGGCGAAAGCGGCUCUCUGGUCUGUAACUGACGCUGAGGUUCGAAAGCGUGGGUAGCAAACAGGAUUAGAUACCCCUGUAGUC